rnacentral:rRNA from 1 species
UACAGAGGUCUCAAGCGUUGUUCGGAUUCAUUGGGCGUAAAGGGUGCGUAGGUGGCGCGCUAAGUCGGGUGUGAAAUCCCGGGGCUUAACCUCGGGACUGCAUUCGAUACUGGCGUGCUUGAGGACUGGAGAGGUGACUGGAAUUCAUGGUGUAGCAGUGAAAUGCGUAGAGAUUAGGAAGAACACCAGUGGCGAAGGCGACUUACUGGACUGUAACUGACGCUGAGGCAUGAAAGCGUGGGGAGCAAACAGG